AACACAGGUGCUGCAUGGCUGUCGUCAGCUCGUGUCGUGAGAUGUUGGGUUAAGUCCCGCAACGAGCGCAACCCUUGUCAUUAGUUGCCAUCAUUUGGUUGGGCACUCUAAUGAGACUGCCGGUGACAACCGGAGGAAGGUGGGGAUGACGUCAAGUCCUCAUGGCCCUUAUAGGUGGGCUACACACGUCAUACAAUGGCUGGUAACAAAGGGUUGCCAACCCGCGAGGGGGAGCCAAUCCCAUAAAGCCAGUCGUAGUCCGGAUCGCAGUCUGCAACUCGACUGCGUGAAGUCGGAAUCGCUAGUAAUCGCGGAUCAGCACGCCGCGGUGAAUACGUUCCCGGGCCUU
rnacentral:rRNA from 1 species